GACGUAGGGCGCAAGCGUUGUCCGGAUUUAUUGGGCGUAAAGAGCUCGUAGGCGGCCUGUCGCGUCGACCGUGAAAACCCGCAGCUCAACUGCGGGCUUGCGGUCGAUACGGGCAGGCUGGAGUUCGGUAGGGGAGACUGGAAUUCCUGGUGUAGCGGUGAAAUGCGCAGAUAUCAGGAGGAACACCGGUGGCGAAGGCAGAUCUCUGGGCCGUAACUGACGCUGAGGAGCGAAAGCGUGGGGAGCGAACAGG
rnacentral:rRNA from 1 species